AACAACUACCACCAUGUCAGAACACUCUGUGCCUUACGGAGGAAACCUGGCUUACUAAUUAACGGAGAAAUUCUUCAGUGACAGAAUGCGUCGUCGUACAAGCGACGAGAGAGCAGGGAGUUUCAUGAGUUGCUUUAUCACCUCUGAGCGUUUCUAUUAAGUUGACUUCUCAGUUGUUGGGAAAUCUUAACGUACGUCCAAAGAGUUGAAGGGAAAAGAUCGAGAAAUGAAAGCAGGAGUACAACGCAUGACUCCAAGAAAGACAACACAGGACCACUACAACAGUGGGCCACAUCCACAGACAUUCCACAGCUAGACAACUCCACGUGUGAUCGAGAUACAUUUGCUCUUUCCACUGUUUCUCUACUUAAGUCAGCAGCUCCUGCAAAUAAGGAACGUAAGGUUAUCAGCAUAUCAGCCUGCGAUAGCCCUUUUCCACCAACGGGGAACUGGUUCUCGAAACGGUUCCAUUGAGGGUUAUUUGAACUGUGCUGUGAUCUGGCGAAGCGGCCUGCCUUUCCACCAGACCUGAGUGGACCCUUUGUAAUCGUGGACGCAUCAUCAAAGGAGGACACAAUGGAAGGAUGUACAACGGAAGUAAACAGUAGUAGCAAGACGGGGAGGUGCAUCGAUUUAGAGUGAACAUUUGUUCUGCUAUUGUAGAUAUUUUUUUCACCUUCAAAAAACAAGCAUGGACCAACUUAAUUGACACGCCCACCAAUUUUGUCACUGAAGAACAAGUUGUUUUUUAAGUGCCAGCUCUGAACCAACUCUUCUGUUUCUGAGAACUACGUUUUUAUUUGGUGGAAAUGCUCCGGACUGUUCAAAGCCAGAGCGGAGCCCUUCCCUGUCGGUGGAAAAGGACUACGAGCGUGAUUCAAAACCAUUCAAAUCACUGGGUUUUUCAACAAAAAAAUCUAUUGGGCACUUGUCUGUGUAUAAUCCUGGCUCUCCAUAGGCUCCAUUUAUGUUGACAAAAAAGCAGAGAGCCACUGUUUCCUCAGGAGCACUGGGUUUAUCUCUUACGCACAUGUACGGUGAGAGCAGGAUCCCUAUACAUUUGUGUGUUGUAUCUCUGUGUGUGCAUGUGUGUGCAUGCCUGUCUCCCUCUUUGUGAGCUCUCAAGCGUGAACGUACGCUGUGAUCGACACUCGUGUUUAGAAAGCUGUCUCUCAACACAUUUUGGGUCAUCUGAGCAUCUCAGGGUACGUAUUGUUCGGCGCUUCUGGACAUCGCCCCUCUCGAAUUUAUGCGGCGAUAGUUAACGGCCAUUUUCUGUGUUUGGCGAAAGUAAUUGAUCUCAAUCAGCGGUCCAUUAUCUUCAGCAGGCAAUUAUGCACAUUGUCACUUUUGCAUUUAGCCCCGUGACUCCGGGGUCACAGGGGCCCGGUGUAACACAAGCCGCGUGGACGACACCCUGGGCUCUCGUAUACAGAGUCUUCCAGGGCAAAGCACCCCCCAGGGGCCCUUUCUGCGCUAGCACACAGAAAAGAAAAAGAAAAGUUUCACUCAAUUCUUUAUUGUCCACUGCAGUGUGUCACAGUUAAGUAAUUCCAAGCAGCAAAAGGGAGUUGGAAUACUGAGGGAAGUUACAAUGUCCUAAACUUAUCAUUAGAUUAUUGCCCACAACACACAAUUCGGGAUCUUACAAAGAAUACUGUCGUUUUUUUUUUUUACCUAUUAUCACUUUAUGUAUACAACCUACUGAGCUACAAUAUGGAUGUUUUGAAGGAAGUUAGAGGGAAUGUAUACUGUAGUUAUUAAUUAACUGUAUGAUAUCUAUUCUAUUAUAACAGGGAAGGUAUAUGACCUACUGAGCUAUAAUCUACAUUCCCAAAUCAUUACCACAUUAAUUCCAUAAUUUCACAUCUUCUUCCCCAUUAACUACAUAUAAGUAUUGGUGUUUACUGUACUGGUACAGUGGUGGUACAGAAGAUUAAACGUAACUUUGGAGUUAUUGUGCUUCGGGCUGCAAUGGAAAUUGUUACCUAUCAUUCUUAAUAGAGUGUGUCUGUUUCAGAUGAUAUAAUUGUGAUUGUGCGGAAGAAGGCUUUCUGCAGGAGGUCUAAAGAUCGUGCACGUUUUUAUAACAUCCAUUUCACUGAUUAGCACUCCCUCCGUCAGAGAGGGGAUGGUUGAGUGAAAUCACCUGGUUUAGUGAUUAGAUUAAAACCUUGAUGAUAAUUUACAGCGUCUUGGUCUUUUUGGUUGCACACAGUUGCUUAAGAAUUUAACAUGUGUGCUACUGAUUUAUGCAUGAGAUCGGGAGGACAUUUUGAAACACUAUGAUGAUGAGAAACUGGUACUUGCAUCAUGUUCAUGAGUAAAGGAGUCAACUUCUUGUAAAGCUGCCCAUUAGAAGCCAGUGACCCGCAGAUGGUAAACAAAGAAAAAUACCACUGGUUUGCCAUAUUCCUCUUUGUGUACAUUUCCAUAUUCAGUUUGUUCUGAAGUAAAAUGUAGCAGGCAAUACCUGCCGGGAAAUGUGAAGGCGUAAUUUGAUUGUACAAUAUGCAAGGUGUUGAACGAUGUAUAGUAAGGCAGGAAGGUAAGGCAUGAUGCAGUGCACUCUCAGACAAUCACCAGGGCUAUAUUUCAUACAAAAAUUUCAGGGGAAUAUUUAAAAUGGAGCGAGGCAAUCCAGCACAAAUAUGAAUGGCUGACUUUAAACACCUUAAUGGCCCUCAGACCAGGACUUGGCACUAGCUGGAGUUAUGAGUAAUAUCCGUCUGCAGGCAGCUAGUUCAUUUAAGAGACGAGCAAUAAAUGGCUAAAGUAAGGGGGAGGGAAAUUGUGUAGUUUGUUUUAAACAAGGUAUGGGCUUGUCCAUUUCCUUUGUUUUUCAGUUCCAGGAUGUAAAUCGUAAAUAAUAGUCAGUGUUUAGUGGUUUCAUAUUUAGCAUGGCACAACAAGUGUGCACUGAGAAACGAUGGCACUAAAUUACAAAAUAACAAAUACCAGAUUUAAGGCUAUAAGUUCAUUGAUGCCUCACUUUUUUUGAAGGUCCACAGUCAAACUUUGACCUUCUAAUCAGACAGCUCUACCCUCGAGCUACUCAAAAGUCACCAUGACGGUACUAAACACAUUCUUUCACAUCUUCUCUGCAGUGACAUACUCUUUAAACAGCAUUUGUCCUUUUCUUUUUUAGCCCCUGUACUCUCCAUGCUUCCUCUUUUAAGCCAAUCCUCAUGUUUUCUCUAGCACUGCCUGUCCCAACUUUUGGGAAAAAGCCCAUUUCCUCCUGGUUCCAAGUUCUCCCACUGAGGGACGAAGUGUGUCCCUAAGUUCAAGCAGCACCUCGGGCAAUGUGAGGGAUGAGGAGAACAAGAAAUGGACCAGUGUUAGAGCCAGGCAAUACUAUCCAGUGUGUGGGAGAAAAUUGCAGGGUUACUGACCUUACAGGGAAAUAAGAAAGGCUUGAGAAAAUACACAACAAACAGGAGGCAGAUCACAGUCAUCUUCAACUCAUGGUCCUGAUGAAUAUUGUCUGCAUGACAUGAAAAGGUCACAGCAUGGGUCAGCCACUCAGCUCCCAGGGCCAGUGGCUAUAAUACUCUGUUUGCUCAUCUAACAGCAACAAUAAAAAAUGUUGUAAGCUCUAAGCAAGAACAGACAAUUAUAAGUUUCAAUCUUACCAUUAUUUCCAUCAUCAUCAUCAGUUGACAUAAUAUGUAAUGAACAGUAUGUUGUGUUGUCCAAGUUCAGAGAUACCAUCAACAGCUUUUCUAUCAUUGACGCAGUUCUCGUUAAGGAUUAGUGCAGUUAAUCCGGAUUUCAACAUCAUUGUCUCUCAUGGCUUCUGCCAUCUUUGAUUCUACUCAAUUUUAAUUGAUUGUUUUUAUUCGGUUGCAAUGUGCAAUAAAUGUUGACCAUUAGAAAAGUUAUCUUUUCUAUCCAUCUAUAUCCACCGGCUUUCUCUAUGAGUAUAACACAACUGUAUGUUUACGGUGAUUGUGGGUGUAGUCACAUACACUAUUACUCCUUUUUUUUUCAUAAAUCAAACAUAUUGUGGAUACUUGAAAUGUCACUGUGAAAAAUAAACUUGAACCAUCAA